CAUAGACAUUUUAUUUUUCUCCAUCAUCCACACUGUUCAAAGUCAUUUAGAUGAUAAUUAUGUACCCACCAGAAACUAUUGACAACAGUUCGAAUGAAUAUGGCUCCAAAUUGAGUCUUGAAGAAAUUAUCCAGCUGAAAAAAAUGGACACCGAAUAAUACGUUUUAUUAUAUUAACAAUUAAACAAUGUAAGGAUGGUAUCAAGAUGGCAUAUGAUGAAUUAAAAUGAAGAUGAUCAUGAAGAAGAUGAUCAUGAUUAUGAUCUUGUGAAGCUCCUUUCAGAACAACUAACGACACUAUCAAUGGUAAAAUUAAAUCAAAUUAGUUACCUGGGUAGCCACUUGAUUUGCCAAUUUCAGGAACUCUGGUGAACUGCUGUUGAUCAGAGAGCUAUUGAAGGUCAAUGUUAGGCUGAACUGCAGUGACAAUUGAAGUGUGGUCGGUGGAGCAUCUGUUGCUGAGGUUAACUUUGUAGCUGUUGUGUUGACUACUGUGGUACUUACGCACAUGCAUUUACACACAAACUGUUGGUGAACUGCAUCCCCUUUUGACUUCCCACACUGUUUAUCACUAUCCAGCUGAGUCUGUUCCUUUCCCUCAAGGUUAGAAACCUCUGGCAGUUUUUACUCCUUUUACCAUCUGUCCUCUGUGACCAUGGGCACACUAAAUACUCACACACAUUUCUUUCCCUCUACAGCCUCUACUAGAUUUUCUGGGACUAAUCGGACUAAUCAAUCACUACAUUGAUCAUUACAUUGAUUAUUCAUUAACCAUGCUGUAUGACUAAUAAUUCAUCAUGGUUUAUUGAUUCAUUUAGCUUUAUUAGAUAAUUCUCUUAUCAAUUCCACCCUUAAAUGAUUAAAUAAUUCACCAUGAUGAUCAAACGCUAUAUGGGAACACUACUAAUCACAUGCUAUAUGUAACACAAUUAAUCACAUGCUAUAUGUAAGCACUAUUAAUCACAUGCUAUAUGUAAACACAAUUAAUCACACGCUAUAAGUAAACACAAUUGUGAUACAAGACUUUAACAAAACCAAGACAUGAAUAUUCCUCCUAUACUCAUCAAUGACUGUCCUAGGCCUAUUUCCAAUUAUGACACUUCGAUUCAGGAUUUUCAUCAUAAUUUUCAUUAAAGGAACAGUCAAUCUAAACGUUGAAAAUUGUUUCAUCAAACAUUGGCAUCUCAUGAUAAUAAAAAGAAACGGAGCCAUCUUCCUGGCCUGGAGGGCCGCAUUCGCCAUCCCACUGAUCGGUGCUCGGAAUCGGUCCAUAUCUCACCAACUGCUGCGUCAUCGAUCUCUCGAGAGUCCUGGUGAUUAAACCUCUAGCACGGGACGAUACAACAUCCACACAACACAAACACACUCAUACAGGUGAAAGCAGCCCAUAAUACAGUUCUUACCACACUUUUCCAUUUCCCAAACAUGGGCUGUGUUAUCAGGAAUGUACGUGCAGCAAUGAACCUAAUCAUUCUACCUACACCGCCCUCUUCUGCCAAUAACAUAUCGCGAGUCAGUCUAUUUUACCCGGCCAUGAGGGAGAUGGCGGAUAAUUGGUCAGAGAACCUCUUUACUGCAUCCCCGGUUUCAUUCAUGAAUCUCUGUUGAUUAUAAAAGGUGUCAUUAAUCCAAUCCACAUUUUUAUUUAUUGUCAACCACCAAAAUAAUGUAGUGUUAAAGCCUUCACAUAUUUGAUUCACAGCUUUGUAUUCAUCUGGAACUUCCCUGAAGAUGCCAAUAGCAUCCAUCUAGACAAAGCUACUCCCAUCCUGGUCAAAACUCCUCCUGUGCCUACUUUAGCCUCCUAUAACUGGCCUCUGAUGACUAACUCGAACUGGUUGGACCUAUAACCCCACCCUUUGUGGUAAUUUGUCGUAUGCUUCCUUUGCUGGUACUAGCCCACCCUACAUCAGUUAUAGGUGCUGGGUUAGCUGGAGGAGCUGUUGUGUUAACAAUAUUUGUCGUUGAAGCUGCUGUGGUCGUUGUGGGAGCAUCUGUGGGUGUUGUGGGGAUGGCUGUGGUUGUUGUGCGAGGAUCUGUGGUUUUUGUUGGAGCAGCUGUGGUAGUUGUUGGAGACGCUGUAGUUGAUUUGGGAGCAGUUGUUGUUGUUGUUGGAGUAUCUGUGGUUGUUUUAGCCCCAAUUGUAGUUGUCGUUGGAGCUUCUGGGGUUGUUGUGGAUGUAUCUGUGGUUGUUUUGGGAGAUUCUGUGGUUAUUGUGGGAGCAGCUGUGGUUGUUGUGCGAGCAGCUGUGGUUGUUAUGCGAGCAGCUGUGGUGGUUGUGGGAGCAUCUGUGGUUGUUGUGAGAGUUGAUGUGGUUGUUGUUGGAGUAUCUGUGGUUGUUGUCGCUCCAGUUGUAGUUGUCAUUGGAGCUACUGUGGUUGUGUUGGGAGCAGAUGUGGGUGUUCUGAGGAUAGAUGUGGUUGUUGUGGGUGCAUCUGUGGUUGUUGUGGGAGAUUCUAUGGUUAUUGUGGAAACAGCUGUGGUUGUUGUGGGAGCAGCUGUGCUUGUUGUGCGAGCAGCUGUGGUUGUUGUGGGAGAAGCUGUGGUUGAUGUGGGAGCAGCUGUGGUUGUUUUAGGAGUAUCUGUUGUUGUUGUAGCCCUAAAUGUAGUUGUCGUUGGAGCUGAUGUUGUUGCUGUGGGAGAAGCUGUGGUUGUUGUGGGGACGGCUGUGUUUGUUGUGGGUGCGUCUUUGGCUGUUGUUGGAGAAGCAGUGGUUGUUGUUGGAGAAGCUGUGGUUGUUGUGGUGCUAAGGAUGUUGUGGAUGUAUCUGUGGUUGUUGUGGGAGCAACUGUCAUUGUUGUUGAGGCAGUUGUGGUUGUUGUUGGAGUAUCUGUGGUUGUUGUAGCCCCAAAUGUAUUUGUCUUUUGAGCUGCUGAAGAUGUUGUGGGAGCAUCAGUGGUUGUUGUUGGAACAUCUGGGGUUGUUGUCGGAGCAGCUGUGGUUGUUGUGGGAGCAGCUGUGGUUGUUGUGGGAGCAGCUGUGGUUGUUGUGGGAGAAGCUGUGGUUGAUGUGGGAGCAGCUGUGGUUAUUGUGUGAGCAGCUGUGUUUGUUUUGGGAGUAUCUGUAGUUCUUGUAGCCCCAAAUGUAGUUGUCGUUGGAGCUGCUAUGGUUGUUGUGGGAGAAGCUGUGGGUGAUGUGGGUGCAGCUGUGGUUGUUGUGGGAACAACUGUGGUUGUUGUGGGAGCAGCUGUGGUUGUUGUGAGAGCAGCUGUGGUUGUUGUGAGAGCAGCUUUGGUUGUUGUGGGAGCAGCUGUGUUUGUUGAGGUAUCAGCUGUGGCUGUUGGUAGAGCAGCUCUGGUUGUUGUGGGAGCAGCAAUGGUUGUUGUGGGAGAAACUGUGGUUGUUGUGGGAGAAGUAGUGGUUGUUGUUGGAGCCACUGUGGUUGUUGUGGGUGCAGAUGUGCUUGUUGUUGGAGCCACUAUGGUUGUUGUUGGAAAGUCUGGGGUUGUUGUCAGAGCAGCUGUGGUUGUUGUGGGAGCAACCGUGGUUGUUGUGGGAGCAGCUGUGGUUGCUUUGGGUGCAGAUGUGGUUGUUGUUGGAGCCACAGUGGUUGUUGUUGGAACGUCUGGGGUUGUUGUCGGAGCAUCUGUGGUUGUUGUGGGAAAAGCUGUGGUUGUUGUGGGAGUAGCUGUGGUUGUUGUGGGAGCCACUGUGUUUGUUGUAGGAGAAGCUGUGAGUGUUGGGAGAGCAUCUGUGGUUGUUAUGGGAGCAGCUGUGGUUGUUGUUGGAGCAGCUGUGGUUGUUGUUGGAGAAGCCGUGGUUGUUGUUGGAACAUAUUAGGUUGUUGUCAGAGAAGCUGUGGUUGUUUUGGGAACAGCUGUGGAUGUUGUGGGAGCAACUGUGGUUGGUGUAGGAGCAGCUGUGGAUGUUGUGGGACCAGCUGUGUUUGUUGUGGUAUCAGCUGUGGCUGUUGUUAAAGCAGAUGUGGUGGUUGUGGGAGCAUCUCUGGUUGUUGUGGUAGCAGCUGUGGCUGUUGUUAGAGCAGCUGUGGUUGUUGUGGGAGAAGCUGUGGUUGUUGUGGGAGAAGUAGUGGUUGUUGUUGGAGCCACCGUGGUUGCUGUUGGAGCCACUGUGGUUGUUUUUUGAAAGUCUGGGGUUGUUGUCGGAGCAUCUGUGGUUGUUGUGGAAACAGCUGUGAUUGUUGUGGAAGCAACCGUCGUUGUUGUGGGAGAAGCUGUGGUUGUUGUGGGUGAUGAUGUGGUUGUUGUUGGAGCCACUGUGGUUGUUGUUGGAUCAUCUAUGGUUGUUGUCGGAGCAGCUGUGGUUGUUGUUGGAAAAGCUGUGGUUGUUGUGGGAGCAACAGUGGUUCUUGUGGGAGCAGCUGUGGUUGUUAUGGGAACAGCUGUGGUUGUUGUGGGUGAUGAUGUGGUUGUUGUUGGAGCCACUGUGGUUGUUGUUGGAUCAUCUGUGGUUGUUGUCGGAGCAGCUGUGGUUGUUGUUGGAGCCACUGUGGUGGUUGUGGGAGGAUCUUCGGUUGUUGUGGGAGCAUCUUCGGUUGUUGUGGGUGGAUCUGUGGUUGUUGUGGGAGAAGCUGUGGUUGUUAUGGGAGAAGCAGUGGUUGUUGUUGGAGCCAAUGUCGUUGUUGUGGUUGCAGAUGUGGUUGUUGUUGGAGCUUCUGUAGUGGUUGUGGGAGCAUCUUUGGUUGUUGUGGGAGCAGCUGUGGUUGUUGUGGGUGCAUCUGUGGUUUUUGUGGGAGAAGCUGUGGUUGUUGUUGGAGCAGCUGUAGUUGUUUAUGGAACAUCUGUGGUUGUUGUGGGAGCAUCUUCGGUUGUUGUGGGAGCAUCUUCGGUUGUUGUGGGUGGAUCUGUGGUUGUUGUUGGAGCAGCUGUGGAUGUUGUGGGAGCAGCUGUGGUUGUUGUGGGAGCAACUGUGGUUGUUGUGGGAGCAUCUGUGGUUGUUGUGGGUGCAGAUGUGGUUGUUGUUGGAUCAUCUGGGGUUGUUGUUUUAGCAGCUAUGGUUGUUGUUGGAACAUCUGUGGUUGUUGUGGGAGCAGCUGUGGUUGUUGUGGGUGCAUCUGUGGUUGUUGUGGGAGAUUCUGUGAUUGUUGUCGGAGCAGCUGUGGUUGUUGUGGGAGAAGCUGUGUUUGUUGUGGGAGAAGCAGUGGUUGUUGUUGGAGCCACUGUAGUUGUUGUGGUUGCAGAUGUGGUUGUUGUUGGAGCCACUGUGGUUGUUGAUGGAACGUCUGAGGUGGUUGUCGGAGCAGCUGUGGUUGUUGUUGGAACAUCUGUGGUUGUUGUUGGAGCAGCUGUGGUUGUUGUUGGAACAUCUGUGGUUGUUGUGGGAGCAGAUGUGGUUGUUGUGGGUCCAUCUGUGGUUGUUGUGGGUGCAUCUGUGAUUGUUGUGGGAGAUUCUGUGGUUGUUGUCGGAGUAGCUGUGGUUGUUGUGGGAGAAGCUGUGUUUGUUGUGGGAGAAGCAGUGGUUGUUGUGGGAGAAGUAGUGGUUGUUGUUGGAGCCACCGUCGUUGCUGUUGGAGCCACUGUGGUUGUUGUUUGAAAGUCUGGGGUUGUUGUCGGAACAUCUGUGGUUGAUGUGGAAACAGCUGUGAUUGUUGUGGAAGCAACCGUCGUUGUUGUGGGAGAAGCUGUGGUUGUUGUGCGUGAUGAUGUGGUUGUUGUUGGAGCCACUGUGGUUGUUGUUGGAUCAUCUGUGGUUGUUGUCGGAGCAGCUGUGGUUGUUGUUGGAAAAGCUGUGGUUGUUGUGGGAGCAACCGGGGUUCUUGUGGGAGCAGCUGUGGUUGAUAUGGGAACAGCUGUGGUUGUUGUGGGAGAAAUUGUGGUUGUUGUGGUAGCAACCGUGGUUGUUGUGGGAGCAGCUGUGGUUGUUGUGGGAGAAGCUGUGGUUGUUAUGGGAGAAGCAGUGGUUGUUGUUGGAGCCAAUGUCGUUGUUGUGGUUGCAGAUGUGGUUGUUGUUGGAGCUUCUGUGGUUUUUGUGGGAGAAGCUGUGGUUGUUGUUGGGGCAGCUGUAGUUGUUUAUGGAACCUCUGUGGUUGUUGUGGGAACAGCUGUGGUUGUUAUGGGAGAAGCAGUGGUUGUUGUUGAAGCCAAUGUUGUUGUUGUGGCUGCAGAUGUGGAUGUUGUUGGAGCCACUGUGGUUGUUGUGGGAGCAGCUGUGGUUGUUGUUGGAACAUCUGUGGUUGUUGUGGGAGCAGCUGUGGUUGUUGUGGGAGCAGCUGUGGUUGUUGUGGGUGCAUCUGUGGUUGUUGUGGGUGCAUCUGUGGUUGUUGUGGGAAAUUCUGUGGUUGUUGUCGGAGCAGCUGUGGUUGUUGUGGGAGAAGCUGUGUUUGUUGUGGGAGAAGCAGUGGUUGUUGUGGGAGAAGUAGUGGUUGUUGUUGGAGCCACCGUCGUUGCUGUUGGAGCCACUGUGGUUGUUGUUUGAAAGUCUGGGGUUGUUUUCGGAGCAUCUGUGGUUGUUGUGGAAACAGCUGUGAUUGUUGUGGAAGCAACCGUGGUUGUUGUUGGAGCCACUUUGGUUGUUGUUGGAUCAUCUGUGGUUGUUGUCGGAGCAGCUGUGGUUGUUGUUGGAAAAGCUGUGGUUGUUGUGGGAGCAACCGUGGUUGUUGUGGGAGCAGCUGUCGUUGUUUUGGGAGCAGCUGUGGCUGUUGUGGGAGAAGCAGUGGUUGUUGUAGGAGCAGCUGUGGUUGUUGUUGGAGCAGCUGUUGUUGUUGUUGGAGCAGCUGUGGUUGUUGUUGGAACAGCUGUGGUUGUUAUGGGAGAAGCAGUGGUUGUUGUUGAAGCCAAUGUUGUUGUUGUGGCUGCAGAUGUGGAUGUUGUUGGAGCCACUGUGGUUGUUGUGGGAGCAGCUGUGGUUGUUGUGGGAGCAGCUGUGGUUGUUGUGGGUGGAUCUGUGGUUGUUGUUGGAGCAGCUGUGGUUGUUGUGGGAGCAGCUGUGGUUGUUGUGGGAGCAACCGUGGUUGUUGUGGGUACAGAUGUGGUUGUUUUUGGAUCAUCUGGGGUUGUUGUUGGAGCAGCUGUGGUUGUUGUUGGAACAUCUGUGGUUGUUGUUGGAGCAGUUGUGGUUGUUGUUGGAACAUCUGUGGUUGUUGUGGGAGCAGAUGUGGUUGUUGUGGGAGAAGCUGUGUUUGUUGUGGGAGAAGCAGUGGUUGUUGUUGGAGCCACUGUAGUUGUUGUGGUUGCAGAUGUGGUUGUUGUUGGAACAUCUGUGGUUGUUGUUGGAGCAGCUGUGGUUGUUGUUGGAACAUCUGUGGUUGUUGUGGGAGCAGCUGUGGUUGUUGUGGGAGCAGCUGUGGUUGUUGUGGGUGCAUCUGUGGUUGUUGUGGGUGCAUCUGUGGUUGUUGUGGGAAAUUCUGUGGUUGUUGUCGGAGCAGCUGUGGUUGUUGUCGGAGCAGCUGUGGUUGUUGUGGGAGAAGCUGUGUUUGUUGUGGGAGAAGCAGUGGUUGUUGUGGGAGAAGUAGUGGUUGUUGUUGGAGCCACCGUCGUUGCUGUUGGAGCCACUGUGGUUGUUGUUUGAAAGUCUGGGGUUGUUUUCGGAGCAUCUGUGGUUGUUGUGGAAACAGCUGUGAUUGUUGUGGAAGCAACCGUGGUUUUUGUUGGAGCCACUUUGGUUGUUGUUGGAUCAUCUGUGGUUGUUGUCGGAGCAGCUGUGGUUGUUGUUGGAAAAGCUGUGGUUGUUGUGGGAGCAACCGUGGUUGUUGUGGGAGCAGCUGUCGUUGUUUUGGGAGCAGCUGUGGCUGUUGUGGGAGAAGCAGUGGUUGUUGUAGGAGCAGCUGUGGUUGUUGUUGGAGCAGCUGUUGUUGUUGUUGGAGCAGCUGUGGUUGUUGUUGGAACAUCUGGGGUUGUUGUCGGAGCAGCUGUGGUUGUUGUGGGAAAAGCUGUGGUUGUUGUGGUAGCAACCGUGGUUGUUGUGGGAGCAGCUGUGGUUGUUGUGGGAGCAGCUGUUGUUGUUGUGGGAGAAGCUGUGGUUGUUAUGGGAGAAGCAGUGGUUGUUGUUGGAACCAAUGUCGUUGUUGUGGGUGCAGAUGUGGUUGUUGUUGGAGCUUCUGUAGUGGUUGUGGGAGCAUCUUUGGUUGUUGUGGGAGCAGCUGUGGUUGUUGUGGGUGCAUCUGUGGUUUUUGUGGGAGACGCUUUGGUUGUUGUUGGAGCAGCUGUAGUUGUUUAUUGAACAUCUGUGGUUGUUGUGGGAACAGCUGUGGUUGUUGUGGGAACAGCUGUGGUUGUUGUGGGAGAAGCAGUGGUUGUUGUUGAAGCCAGUGUUGUUGUUGUGGUUGCAGAUGUGGUUGUUGUUGGAGCUUCUGUAGUGGUUGUGGGAGCAUCUUCGGUUGUUGUGGGAGCAGCUGUGGUUGUUGUGGGUGGAUCUGUGGUUGUUGUUGGAGCCACUGUAGUUGUUGUGGUUGCAGAUGUGGUUGUUGUUGGAGCCACUGUGGUUGUUGAUGGAACGUCUGAGGUUGUUGUCGGAGCAUCUGUGAUUGUUGUUGGCACAUCUGUGGUUGUUGUUGGAGCAGCUGGGGUUGUUGUGGGUGCAUCUGUGGUUGUUGUGGGAAAUUCUGUGGUUGUUGUCGUAGCAGCUGUGGUUGUUGUGGGAGAAGCUGUGGUUGUUGUGGGUGCAUCUGUGGUUGUUAUUGGAGCCACUGUGGUUGUUGUUGGAGCCAAUAUUGUUGUUGUGGCUGCAGAUGUGGUUGAUGUUGGAGCCAAUGUGGUGGAUGUGGGAGCAUCUUCGGUUGUUGUGGGAGCAGCUGUGGUUGUUGUGGGUGCAUCUGUGGUUGUUGUUGGAGCAGCUGUGGUUGUUGUGGGAGCAGCUGGAGUUGUUGUGGGUGCAUCUGUGGUUGUUGUCGGAGCAGCUGUGGUUGUUGUGGGAGAAGCUGUGGUUGUUGUUGGAACAUCUGUGGUUGUUGUGGGAUCAGCUGUGGUUGUUGUGGGUGCAGCUGUGGUUGUUGUGGGUGCAUCUGUGGUUGUUGUGGGUGCAUCUGUGGUUGUUGUGGGAGAUUCUGUGGUUGUUGUCGGAGCAGCUGUGGUUGUUGUGGGAGAAGCUGUGUUUGUUGUUGGAGAAGCAGUGGUUGUUGUUGGAGCCACUGUAGUUGUUGUGGUUGCAGAUGUGGUUGUUGUUGGAGCCACUGUGGUUGUUGAUGGAACGUCUGAGGUUGUUGUCGGAGCAUCUGUGGUUGUUGUUGGAACAUCUGUGGUUGUUGUUGGAGCAGCUGGGGUUGUUGUGGGUGCAUCUGUGGUUGUUGUGGGAGAUUCUGUGGUUGUUGUCGGAGCAGCUGUGGUUGUUGUGGGAGAAGAUGUGGUUGUUGUGGGUGCAUCUGUGGUUGUUAUUGGAGCCACUGUGGUUGUUGUUGGAGCCAAUAUUGUUGUUGUGGAUGCAGAUGUGGUUGUUGUUGGAGCCAAUGUGGUGGAUGUGGGAGCAUCUUCGGUUGUUGUGGGAGCAGCUGUGGUUGUUGUGGGUGCAUCUGUGGUUGUUGUUGGAGCAGCUGUGGUUGUUGUGGGAGCAGCUGUGGUUGUUGUGGGUGCAUCUGUGGUUUAUUUGGGAGAUUCUGUGGUUGUUGUCGGAGCAGCUGUGGUUGUUGUGGGAGAAGCUGUGGUUGUUGUUGGAACAUCUGUGGUUGUUGUGGGAGCAGCUGUGGUUGUUGUGGGUGCAGCUGUGGUUGUUGUCGGUGCAUCUGUGGUUGUUGUCGGUGCAUCUGUGGUUGUUGUGGGUGCAUCUGUGGUUGUUGUGGGAGAUUCUGUGGUUGUUGUCGGAGCAGCUGUGGUUGUUGUGGGAGAAGCUGUGUUUGUUGUGGGAGAAGGAGUGGUUGUUGUUGGGGCCACUGUAGUUGUUGUGGUUGCAGAUGUGGUUGUUGUUGGAGCCACUGUGGUUGUUGAUGGAACGUCUGAGGUUGUUGUCGGAGCAGCUGUGGUUGUUGUUGGAACAUCUGUGGUUGUUGUUGGAGCAGCUGUGGUUGUUGUUGGAACAUCUGUGGUUGUUGUGGGAGCAGCUGUGGUUGUUGUGGGUGCAUCUGUGGUUGUUGCGGGAGAUUCUUUGGUUGUUGUCGGAGCAGCUGUGGUUGUUGUGGGAGAAGCUGUGUUUGUUGUGGGAGAAGGAGUGGUUGUUGUUGGGGCCACUGUAGUUGUUGUGGUUGCAGAUUUGGUUGUUAUUGGAACAUCUGUGGUUGUUGUGGGAGCAGCUGUGGUUGUUGUGGGUGCAUCUGUGGUUGUUGUGGGAGAUUCUGUGGUUGUUGUCGGAGCAGCUGUGGUUGUUGUGGGAGAAGCUGUGGUUGUUGUUGGAGCCACUGUAGUUGUUGUGGUUGCAGAUGUGGUUGUUGUUGGAGCCACUGUGGUUGUUGAUGGAACGUCUGAGGUUGUUGUCGGAGCAUCUGUGAUUGUUGUUGGCACAUCUGUGGUUGUUGUUGGAGCAGCUGGGGUUGUUGUGGGUGCAUCUGUGGUUGUUGUGGGAGAUUCUGUGGUUGUUGUCGUAGCAGCUGUGGUUGUUGUGGGAGAAGCUGUGGUUGUUGUGGGUGCAUCUGUGGUUGUUAUUGGAGCCACUGUGGUUGUUGUUGGAGCCAAUAUUGUUGUUGUGGCUGCAGAUGUGGUUGAUGUUGGAGCCAAUGUGGUGGAUGUGGGAGCAUCUUCGGUUGUUGUGGGAGCAGCUGUGGUUGUUGUGGGUGCAUCUGUGGUUGUUGUUGGAGCAGCUGUGGUUGUUGUGGGAGCAGCUGGAGUUGUUGUGGGUGCAUCUGUGGUUGUUGUGGGAGAUUCUGUGGUUGUUGUCGGAGCAGCUGUGGUUGUUGUGGGAGAAGCUGUGGUUGUUGUUGGAACAUCUGUGGUUGUUGUGGGAUCAGCUGUGGUUGUUGUGGGUGCAGCUGUGGUUGUUGUGGGUGCAUCUGUGGUUGUUGUGGGUGCAUCUGUGGUUGUUGUGGGAGAUUCUGUGGUUGUUGUCGGAGCAGCUGUGGUUGUUGUGGGAGAAGCUGUGUUUGUUGUUGGAGAAGCAGUGGUUGUUGUUGGAGCCACUGUAGUUGUUGUGGUUGCAGAUGUGGUUGUUGUUGGAGCCACUGUGGUUGUUGAUGGAACGUCUGAGGUUGUUGUCGGAGCAUCUGUGGUUGUUGUUGGAACAUCUGUGGUUGUUGUUGGAGCAGCUGGGGUUGUUGUUGGUGCAUCUGUGGUUGUUGUGGGAGAUUCUGUGGUUGUUGUCGGAGCAGCUGUGGUUGUUGUGGGAGAAGAUGUGGUUGUUGUGGGUGGAUCUGUGGUUGUUAUUGGAGCCACUGUGGUUGUUGUUGGAGCCAAUAUUUUUGUUGUGGAUGCAGAUGUGGUUGUUGUUGGAGCCAAUGUGGUGGAUGUGGGAGCAUCUUCGGUUGUUGUGGGAGCAGCUGUGGUUGUUGUGGGUGCAUCUGUGGUUGUUGUUGGAGCAGCUGUGGUUGUUGUGGGAGCAGCUGUGGUUGUUGUGGGUGCAUCUGUGGUUGUUGUGGGAGAUUCUCUGGUUGUUGUCGGAGCAGCUGUGGUUGUUGUGGGAGAAGCUGUGGUUGUUGUUGGAACAUCUGUGGUUGUUGUGUGAGCAGCUGUGGUUGUUGUGGGUGCAGCUGUGGUUGUUGUCGGUGCAUCUGUGGUUGUUGUCGGUGCAUCUGUGGUUGUUGUGGGUGCAUCUGUGGUUGUUGUGGGAGUUUCUGUGGUUGUUGUCGGAGCAGCUGUGGUUGUUGUGGGAGAAGCUGUGUUUGUUGUGGGAGAAGGAGUGGUUGUUGUUGGGGCCACUGUAGUUGUUGUGGUUGCAGAUGUGGUUGUUGUUGGAGCCACUGUGGUUGUUGAUGGAACAUCUGAGGUUGUUGUCGGAGCAGCUGUGGUUGUUGUUGGAACAUCUGUGGUUGUUGUUGGAGCAGCUGUGGUUGUUGUUGGAACAUCUGUGGUUGUUGUGGGAGCAGCUGUGGUUGUUGUGGGUGCAUCUGUGGUUGUUGCGGGAGAUUCUUUGGUUGUUGUCGGAGCAGCUGUGGUUGUUGUGGGAGAAGCUGUGUUUGUUGUGGGAGAAGGAGUGGUUGUUGUUGGGGCCACUGUAGUUGUUGUGGUUGCAUAUGUGGUUGUUAUUGGAGCCACUGUGGUUGUUGUUGGAGCCAAUAUUGUUGUUGUGGCUGCAGAUGUGGUUGAUGUUGGAGCCAAUCUGGUGGAUGUGGGAGCAUCUUCGGUUGUUGUGGGAGCAGCUGUGGUUGUUGUGGGUGCAUCUGUGGUUGUUGUUGGAGCAGCUAUGGUUGUUGUGGGAGCAGCUGGAGUUGUUGUGGGUGCAUCUGUGGUUGUUGUGGGAGAAGCUGUGGUUGUUGUUGGAACAUCUGUGGUUGUUGUGGGAUCAGCUGUGGUUGUUGUGGGUGCAGCUGUGGUUGUUGUGGGUGCAUCUGUGGUUGUUGUGGGUGCAUCUGUGGUUGUUGUGGGUGCAUCUGUGGUUGUUGUGGGAGAUUCUGUGGUUGUUGUCGGAGCAGCUGUGGUUGUUGUGGGAGAAGCUGUGUUUGUUGUUGGAGAAGCAGUGGUUGUUGUUGGAGCCACUGUAGUUGUUGUGGUUGCAGAUGUGGUUGUUGUUGGAGCCACUGUGGUUGUUGAUGGAACGUCUGAGGUUGUUGUCGGAGCAUCUGUGGUUGUUGUUGGAACAUCUGUGGUUGUUGUUGGAGCAGCUGGGGUUCUUGUGGGUGCAUCUGUGGUUGUUGUGGGAGAUUCUGUGGUUGUUGUCGGAGCAGCUGUGGUUGUUGUGGGAGAAGCUGUGGUUGUUGUGGGUGCAUCUGUGGUUGUUAUUUGAGCCACUGUGGUUGUUGUUGGAGCCAAUAUUGUUGUUGUGGCUGCAGAUGUGGUUGUUGUUGGAGCCACUGUGGUGGAUGUGGGAGCAUCUUCGUUUGUUGUGGGAGCAGCUGUGGUUGUUGUGGGUGCAUCUGUGGUUGUUGUUGGAGCAGCUGUGGUUGUUGUGGGAGCAGCUGUGGUUGUUGUGGGUGCAUCUGUGGUUGUUGUGGGAGAUUCUGUGGUUGUUGUCGGAGCAGCUGUGGUUGUUGUGGGAGAAGCUGUGGUUGUUGUUGGAACAUCUGUGGUUGUUGUGGGAUCAGCUGUGGUUGUUGUGGGUGCAGCUGUGGUUGUUGUGGGUGCAUCUGUGGUUGUUGUGGGUGCAUCUGUGGUUGUUGUGGGAGAUUCUGUGGUUGUUGUCGGAGCAGCUGUGGUUGUUGUCGGAGAAGCUGUGUUUGUUGUUGGAGAAGCAGUGGUUUUUGUUGGAGCCACUGUAGUUGUUGUGGUUGCAGAUGUGGUUGUUGUUGGAGCCACUGUGGUUGUUGAUGGAACGUCUGAGGUUGUUGUCGGAGCAUCUGUGGUUGUUGUUGGAACAUCUGUGGUUGUUGUUGGAGCAGCUGGGGUUGUUGUGGGUGCAUCUGUGGUUGUUGUGGGAGAUUCUGUGGUUGUUGUCGGAGCAGCUGUGGUUGUUGUGGGAGAAGAUGUGGUUGUUGUGGGUGCAUCUGUGGUUGUUAUUGGAGCCACUGUGGUUGUUGUUGGAGCCAAUAUUGUUGUUGUGGAUGCAGAUGUGGUUGUUGUUGGAGCCAAUGUGGUGGAUGUGGGAGCAUCUUCGGUUGUUGUGGGAGCAGCUGUGGUUGUUGUGGGUGCAUCUGUGGUUGUUGUUGGAGCAGCUGUGGUUGUUGUGGGAGCAGCUGUGGUUGUUGUGGGUGCAUCUGUGGUUGUUGUGGGAGAUUCUGUGGUUGUUGUCGGAGCAGCUGUGGUUGUUGUGGGAGAAGCUGUGGUUGUUGUUGGAACAUCUGUGGUUGUUGUGGGAGCAGCUGUGGUUGUUGUGGGUGCAGCUGUGGUUGUUGUCGGUGCAUCUGUGGUUGCUGUGGGUGCAUCUGUGGUUGUUGUGGGAGAUUCUGUGGUUGUUGUCGGAGCAGCUGUGGUUGUUGUGGGAGAAGCUGUGUUUGUUGUGGGAGAAGCAGUUGUUGUUGUUGGAGCCACUGUAGUUGUUGUGGUUGCAGAUGUGGUUGUUGUUGGAGCCACUGUGGUUGUUGAUGGAACGUCUGAGGUUGUUGUCGGAGCAGCUGUGGUUGUUGUUGGAACAUCUGUGGUUGUUGUUGGAGCAGCUGUGGUUGUUGUUGGAACAUCUGUGGUUGUUGUGGGAGCAGCUGUGGUUGUUGUGGGUGCAUCUGUGGUUGUUGCGGGAGAUUCUUUGGUUGUUGUCGGAGCAGCUGUGGUUGUUGUGGGAGAAGCUGUGUUUGUUGUGGGAGAAGGAGUGGUUGUUGUUGGGGCCACUGUAGUUGUUGUGGUUGCAGAUGUGGUUGUUGUUGGAGCCACUGUGGUUGUUGAUGGAACGUCUGAGGUUGUUGUCGGAGCAUCUGUGGUUGUUGUUGGAACAUCUGUGGUUGUUGUUGGAGCAGCUGGGGUUCUUGUGGGUGCAUCUGUGGUUGUUGUGGGAGAUUCUGUGGUUGUUGUCGGAGCAGCUGUGGUUGUUGUGGGAGAAGCUGUGGUUGUUGUGGGUGCAUCUGUGGUUGUUAUUUGAGCCACUGUGGUUGUUGUUGGAGCCAAUAUUGUUGUUGUGGCUGCAGAUGUGGUUGUUGUUGGAGCCACUGUGGUGGAUGUGGGAGCAUCUUCGGUUGUUGUGGGAGCAGCUGUGGUUGUUGUGGGUGCAUCUGUGGUUGUUGUUGGAGCAGCUGUGGUUGUUGUGGGAGCAGCUGUGGUUGUUGUGGGUGCAUCUGUGGUUGUUGUGGGAGAUUCUGUGGUUGUUGUCGGAGCAGCUGUGGUUGUUGUGGGAGAAGCUGUGGUUGUUGUUGGAACAUCUGUGGUUGUUGUGGGAGCAGCUGUGGUUGUUGUGGGUGCAGCUGUGGUUGUUGUCGGUGCAUCUGUGGUUGUUGUGGGUGCAUCUGUGGUUGUUGUGGGAGAUUCUGUGGUUGUUGUCGGAGCAGCUGUGGUUGUUGUGGGAGAAGCUGUGUUUGUUGUGGGAGAAGCAGUUGUUGUUGUUGGAGCCACUGUAGUUGUUGUGGUUGCAGAUGUGGUUGUUGUUGGAGCCACUGUGAUUGUUGAUGGAACGUCUGAGGUUGUUGUGGGUGCAUCUGUGGUUGUUGUGGGAGAUUCUGUGGUUGUUGUCGGAGCAGCUGUGGUUGUGGUGGGAGAAGCUGUGGUUGUUGUCGGAACAUCUGUGGUUGUUGUGGGAGCAGCUGUGGUUGUUGUGGGUGCAUCUGUGGUUGUUGUUGGAGCCACUGUGGUUGUUGUGGGAGCCAAUGUUGUUGUUGUGGCUGCAGAUGUGGAUGUUGUUGGAGCCACUGUGUUGGUUGUGGGAGCAUCUUCGGUUGUUGUGGGAGCAGCUGUGGUUGUUGUGGGUGGAUCUGUGGUUGUUGUUGGAGCAGCUGUGGUUGUUGUGGGAGAAGCUGUGGUUGUUGUGGGAGCAACCGUGGUUGUUGUGGAAGCAUCUGUGGUUGUUGUGGGUGCAGAUGUGGUUGUUGUUUGAUCAUCUGUGGUUGUUGUUGGAGCAGCUGUGGUUGUUGUUGGAACAUCUGUGGUUGUUGUGAGAGCAGCUGUGGUUGUUGUGGGUGCAUCUGUGGUUGUUGUGGGAGAUUCUGUGGUUGUUGUCGGAGCAGCUGUGGUUGUUGUGGGAGAAGCUGUGUUUGUUGUGGGAGAAGCAGUGGUUGUUGUUGGAGCCAAUGUAGUUGUUGUGGUUGCAGAUGUGGUUGUUGUUGAUGGAACGUCUGAGGAUGUUGUCGGAGCAGCUGUGGUUGUUGUUGGAACAUCUGUGGUUGUUGUUGGAGCAGCUGUGGUUGUUGUUGGAACAUCUGUGGUUGUUGUGGGAGCAGCUGUGGUUGUUGUGGGUGCAUCUGUGGUUGUUGUGGGAGAUUCUGUGGUUGUUGUCGGAGCAGCUGUGGUUGUUGUGGGAGAAGCUGUGGUUGUUGUUGGAACAUCUGUGGUUGUUGUGGGAUCAGCUGUGGUUGUUGUGGGUGCAUCUGUGGUUGUUGUUGGAGCCACUGUGGUUGUUGUUUGAGCCAAUGUUGUUGUUGUGGCUGCAGAUGUGGAUGUUGUUGGAGCCACUGUGGUGGAUGUGGGAGCAUCUUCGUUUGUUGUGGGAGGAGCUGUGGUUGUUGUGGGUGGAUCUGCUGUUGUUGUUGGAGCAGCUGUGGUUCUUGAGGGAGAAGCUGUGGUUGUUGUGGGAGCAACCGUGGUUGUUGUGGGAGCAGCUGUGGUUGUUGUGGAUGCAAUUGUGGUUGUUGUUGGAGCAGCUGUGGUUGUUGUUGGAGCAGCUGUGGUUGUUGUUGGAGCCACUGUGGUGGAUGUGGGAGCAUCUUCGGUUGUUGUGGGAGCAGCUGUGGUUGUUGUGGGUGCAUCUGUGGUUGUUGUUGGAGCAGCUGUGGUUGUUGUGGGAGCAGCUGAAGUUGUUGUGGGUGCAUCUGUGGUUGUUGUGGGAGCCACUGUGGUUGUUGUUGGAGCCAAUGUUGUUGUUGUGGCUGCAGAUGUGGUUGUUGUUGGAGCCACUGUGGUGGAUGUGGGAGCAUCUUCAGUUGUUGUGGGAGCAGCUGUGGUUGUUGUGGGUGGAUCUGUGGUUGUUGUUGGAGCAGCUGUGGUUGUUGUGGGAGAAGCUGUGGUUGUUGUGGGAGCAGCCGUGGUUGUUGUUGGAGCAGCUGUGGUUGUUGUUGGAACAUCUGUGGUUGUUGUGGGAGAAGCUGUGUUUGUUGUGGGAGAAGAAGUGGUUGUUGUUGGAGCCACUGUAGUUGUUGUUGUUGCAGAUAUGGUUGUUGUUGGAGCCACUGUGGUUGUUGAUGGAACGUCUGAGGUUGUUGUCGGAGCAGCUGUGGUUGUUGUUGGAACAUCUGUGGUUGUUGUUGUAGCAGCUGGGGUUGUUGUGGGUGCAUCUGUGGUUGUUGUGUGAGAUUCUGUGGUUGUUGUCGGAGCAGCUUUGGUUGUUGUGGGAGAAGCUGUGGUUGUUGUUGGAACAUCUGUGGUUGUUGUGGGAGCAGCUGUGGUUGUUGUGGGUGCAUCUGUGGUUGUUGUUGGAGCCACUGUGGUGGUUGUGGGAGCAUCUUCGGUUGUUGUGGGAGCAGCUGUGGUUGUUGUGGGUGGAUCUGUGGUUGUUGUUGGAGCAGCUGUGGUGGUUGUGGGAGAAGCUGUGGUUGUUGUGGGAGCAACCGUGGUUGUUGUGGAAGCAUCUGUGGUUGUUGUGGGUGCAGAUGUGGUUGUUGUUGGAUCAUCUGGGGUUGUUGUUGGAGCAGCUGUGGUUAUUGUUGGAACAUCUGUGGUUGUUGUGAGAGCAGCUGUGUUUGUUGUGGGUGCAUCUGUGGUCGUUGUGGGAGAUUCUGUGGUUGUUGUCGGAGCAGCUGUGGUUGUUGUGGGAGAAGCUGUGUUUGUUGUGGGAGAAGCAGUGGUUGUUGUUGGAGCCACUGUAGUUGUUGUGGUUGCAGAUGUGGUUGUUGUUGAUGGAACGUCUGAGGAUGUUGUCGGAGCAGCUGUGGUUGUUGUUGGAACAGCUGUGGUUGUUGUUGGAGCAGCUGUGGUUGUUGUUGGAACAUCUGUGGUUGUUGUGGGAGCAGCUGUGGUUGUUGUGGGUGCAUCUGUGGUUGUUGUGGAAGAAUCUGUGGUUGUUGUCGGAGUAGCUGUGGUUGUUGUGGGAGAAGCUGUGGUUGUUGUUGGAACAUCUGUGGUUGUUGUGGGAUCAGCUGUGGUUGUUGUGGGUGCAUCUCUGGUUGUUUUUGGAGCCACUGUGGUUGUUGUUGGAGCCAAUGUUGUUGUUGUGGCUGCAGAUGUGGAUGUUGUUGGAGCCACUGUGGUGGAUGUGGGAGCAUCUUCGGUUGUUGUGAGAGGAGCUGUGGUUGUUGUGGGUGGAUCUGUUGUUGUUGUUGGAGCAGCUGUGGUUCUUGUGGGAGAAGCUGUGGUUGUUGUGGGAGCAACCGUGGUUGUUGUGGGAGCAGCUGUGGUUGUUGUGGGUGCAAUUGUGGUUGUUGUUGGAGCAGCUGUGGUUGUUGUGGGAGCAGCUGUGGUUGUUGUGUGUGCAAUUGUGGUUGUUGUUGGAGCAGCUGUGGUUGUUGUGGUUGCAGAUGUGGUUGUUGUUGGAGCCACUGUGGUUAUUGAUGGAACGUCUAAGGUUGUUGUCGGAGCAGCUGUGGUUGUUGUUGGAACAUCUGUGGUUGUUGUUGGAGCAGCUGUGGUUGUUGUUGGAACAUCUGUGGUUGUUGUGGGAACAGCUGUGGUUGUUGUGGGUGCAUCUGUGUUUGUUGUGGGAGAUUCUGUGGUUGUUGUCGGAGCAGCUGUGGUUGUUGUGGGAGAAGCUGUGUUUGUUGUGGGAGAAGCAGUGGUUGUUGUUGGAGCCACUGUGGUUGUUGUGGGUGGAGAUGUGGUUGUUGUUGGAACAGCUGUGGUUGUUGUGGGUGAAGAUGUGGUUGUUGUUGGAACAGCUGUGGUUGUUGUGGGAGAAGCAGUAAUUGUUGGGAGAGCAGCUGUGGUUGUUAUGGUAGCAGCUGUGGUUGUUCUGGGAGAAGCUGUGGUUGUUGUUGGAGAAGCUGUGGUUGUUGUUAGAACAUCUGGGGUUGUUGUCAGAGAAUCUGUGGUUGUUGUGGGAACAGCUGUGGUUGUUGUGGAAGCAACUGUGAUUGUUGUAUCCACAGCUGAAGUUGGAGUUGAGGCUGCUGGGGGUUGUGUUGGUGCAAUGACCUCUGUAAUUAUGAAAUGGAUGUUAGGUAUUUUAUUCUUAUUGGUCCAAUGGUGUUCUAUAGGAUUUCAUUAUACCUGAAACGUUGUAACUGUACAGUGGCUAAAAAUUGUGUACAACUCUAAACAAAUUGACAAAAAAUCCAGUCAACAAAGUUACAGACGUUUCAUCAAGUGUUGAGGACGUAGGGUUACUCAGUUUUGCUUCUUGUUGUUAAGCUUAAGAUAAGAAGGUAUUGGGUUUUCUCUUCAGAAGUAAACAUUUUUACAACCACAUUUGUUAGAUUGUUUUCUAUGUCAAAUAGCAAAAAUAAAAGACUGAUAAUCAACUCCAGGCUGCGUAGUUAAAUGGAAAUGACCGACUUCACCUGUUUGGUAUCAUAUCACACCC
rnacentral:lncRNA from 1 species